rnacentral:rRNA from 1 species
CGGUUAGACUAGAGGGCUUAGUUAUAUUGUCUAGGUAAAAAGGUGGUUAGACGCGUGAAAAUUAAGGCUUAGUUGUAUGAACUGCUAUAGAGAGGUAUAAUUCUUAUAUAGCUGUAGGCAAUUCGAAGACGGCUAACAAAAGUUGAAUCCACGAUAGCUUUGAGGGAAACUGGGAUUUGGUACCCCACUAUUCUUAGCUGUAAAUAAGUGUUGAGCUUACCAGAGUACUACGAACAGAUUAGUUUAAAACUCAAAGGGCUUGGCGGUGUUCUAGACCACUUAGGGGAACCUGUCUCGUAAUCGAUGAUCCACGAUAUACCUUACCCUUUCUUGCAAUCAGCCUGUACACCGUUGUCAUCAGGUAACUUUUUAGAACAACAAAGUUAGCAAUAAAACUCUUUAUUAGUUUUUAUGUCAAAUCAAGGUGCAGCUUAUGAAAGGGGGAGGAUGGGUUACAAUUAGGAUUUAUAAUACGGAUCAUUCAGUGAAAUCUGUUUGUGAAGGAGGACUUAAAAGUAAAGUUGUCUAUAAAAACAACUUGAAUGGGGCUCUGGAAUGUGUACAAAUUGCCG